GCGUUGUAUUUACAUCUGUUCCUUCUUGCAGGUCAGGGAAAAGUUAUAGACGGCUGGGAUGUUGGUCUUGAUGGUAUGCGAGUUGGCGAGAAAAGAAGACUUGUUAUCCCACCACCAAUGGGCUUUGGGAGCAAUGGAGACGGUAAAGACGUGCCACCAAACGCAUGGCUGGUAUAUGAUGUUGAAUUACUGAAAGUUCGUUGAGUGAUCGAUUCUACUGCCUCCGGUACCGGCUUUUGCUUUUUUCUUUGUGCAAAUUUUGUGAUUUUUCUCCCCUUCAUCAAAUGCAAAAGAAUUGCGGGAGCAGCAAAGUAGCUCAGCAUAGUUUUCAAAUGCCGACUUGUGGGAACAGCCUCAAGGCUUUGUGAUAGAAAGCUGGCUUUUGUGACCUUAAAUCAUUUUGUUUUGUUCUCUCCUUUCUGAGUUCUUAAUCUUCAUUGAACCGCAUACCCAAAUGUAAAAGGUUUUUGAAUCAAUUGCCAGAGAAAUUACAACCGAAA